rnacentral:lncRNA from 1 species
GGUUUCAACUCUGAGAACGGAGUUCCUGCCGCUGCUCAGUGUGUCAUUUGUCUCAGAGAACAGCGUUGUGGCUGCCGUAAGUAUCUGCCAUCCUCACAGUGUGCCACGUGCAGCUCCGAGCCAGAAACAAUGCGUGCUCUGUGGCAGGCACAGGAGCACGUCCUUUCGCUGAAAGAGACUGGGAGGCCACGGCUGUGAGCACGCUACUGGGGUGGAAGGUAGGCAGGGAGCCCUAGUGCUGACCGAUCUCCCAUUUCAGGGCCAUGACUGCUGCCCGAUGCUCUUUAACUACGAUGACCGUGGCUGUUUGACCUUUGUGUCCAAGCUAGACGUCCCAAAACAGAGCAUCCAGCGCAACAUGUCUGCUAUGGAACGCUUCCGUAACAUGGAUAAGAGGGCCACUACCGAGGACCGCAACACAGCCUUGGAAACACUGCACCAGAACAGCAUCACGUAAGUACCCUCAGUCACCUCAGCCUGGAGUCAGGGCACUGGGCUUCUGUAGAAAAUUGGCUGGCCAAGGUGCUUCACUCCAUGUCAUUUUCCUACAAAAGCCCCUUGUGCUGCAGGCCCAGUGUCUCUGACGGAAUGAGAGCGGUAGGAAGGAAGCCUGUGCCUUCCCAGCUGCUAAGGUCUCAUUUUCAGUUUGUGACCGAGAGGGAGGUGGCUGGGUGU